rnacentral:lncRNA from 1 species
CCCGCUGCGCCGUCCGAUCCGUGAUCCGAGGUUGAUUGCCUCCCGUGUUAAUUCUUUGGUUGCCUCCGUCUCUUUCUCCUUUUCCCUCCAAUCUCCUCCAAAAGUCCAAAGCCGGUAAGCGCUUUGAUUGGACCCCAGGGAAGGAAGGAAUGCAUGCAUGCAGAGCCUGGUUGGUUGAUUGGGAUCCGAUUUUGCUUUGUGGUAUUUUUAACCGGAAUUAUUGGCCUUGACUUGGCUGCGUUGUGGAACGGAAAGUCAAAAGUUGUGUACGUACUGUUACAGUCUGAACCUCCAAUGCUGCUGGUGGCGACACUGACCGCGUGUUGUGUAGGGGGGAGGAUCGCCAGCAGCACCUGUCAAAGCCGGCAUCAAUCGUAGUACUACUUAAUAACUUUUCCGUAUCCGUCCGUUCACCAAGUUGAUAUCCGUUUCCCAAGUGUCCAAGUUAAUACUACUACUACUCCGUUUCAAAAAUAAUAAUAAAUAAAUUGAUAUUACUACCCACGCUGAAUCAUAUAUUUUUACUGUAGCAGCGCACGCGCAGGCAGUGAGCUCAGUCAUACGAGGAUUGCAAGCUUACAACUGAAGAACAAAGGCUAUAAAUAUGAACACAUCUGUCACCUGCUAGUGAACCGAGGUUUUGUGAAUAUAUUAGUAAAGGACAGCUUCACUCCGGUUUGACCCAAGUUAGGACUGAGCUAACCAUGUUAGCUUGUAAAAACGUCUUAAGGCGAAUGGAGUAGUUGGGAAUGACCGAAUGGAACCUUGGCUCAAGGUGGAAUCUGAGCUAAGCUGCCUCCUGUAUUUCAUCUCACCUCAUCGUGAUCGUGAUCCCCAAUCACCACCGUGCUUCGUGUCUUGAUUUCCGUGCAACGCGUUUAUCUUUCUCCCGGGACACACCCUGCGAGCAGAAGCAACAGUAAGAAAGAGAUUUGCCUUCAGAAAUGGACGUCACCCAUGACGAGGACAAUGGUGCAGGCAGGCUCGGAGUCUGUAGAGCAGCUGUGGAGAUCUCAAUGCGGCUGAACAAAAAAAGAGCAGCAGAAAUGGAUGCCACCAACCGACACCAACAACCCUAAUAAUCAUCUCCUCCAACAUCAGCAAGCAGAAACAGUGGUGGAGGAGAGACAUAGAGAGGAAGCACAGGCAUUGGUUUUAUGUGAGUUACUGUGCGGGGUUUGGCAUUUUGUGGUGUGCUCUGUGUGUUAUAGCCCUACACAAGUGCUUCCACCACCAUUUGCUCAUAUCUCCCUUUCAGUUAUAUAAAAGAAAUUUGACAGUGCACCCUCUGAACCUCAUGCACCUAACAACCUUGCAUAGUAGAGUUGCAACUUGCUAAAUUAUUUUUAUCAACGCAAAACCUAAUGAGCUCCAAUGAUGAUCAGAGAUAUGACAAGAAGCUUGUACCAAUGUGGCGUGAGCAAAACUGAGAUUUGACUCGUUGAUGUUUGUAUGCAACACCCUGCAGGCCCAAAGAUCAGACUGCAAGCAGAGAUUAGGUCACGAGUCGUCGUGGCCUGUAACAAAAGGCUAUAAAUAGAGCGGUCGCCUGCUGUUAGUCCCAGGGUUUGUACGUAAGAAAAGAAAAAACAGCUUGCUUGGGGUUUGUCCGAAGUUGGGCCUAAGUAAACAAAGUACAUGUGAAUGACCGAACGGAACCUUGGCUCACGGUAGAAUCUGAGCUGAGCCACCUCCUGUAUUUCAACUCAUCAUGAUCCACAAUCACUAUACAUUAUAUCUUGAUUGAUCCCUGCACCAAACCGUUUACCUUCUCGUCAAACACCUGCAACACUGGGGAACAGCUUUGUUUUCAGAAAAUGCAUGCCACCCACAAUGAAGAGUUGAAGACAAUUGAAGAAGACGGCACAGCGGCAGUGGAGAUGACAAUGCAAGUGGCUGAACGCAAGAAGAAAUGUAUGUCACCGAUCGGCACCCCUAAUCAUCUUCUCCAUCAUCAGCAAGCAGAAACAGGAGAGCCGGGGAGGGGAGCAUAGGCAUUGGCUUUAUGUGAGUUACUCUGUGAUGGGUUUUUGCAUCUAGUGGCGCAAGUCACUGUGCAACAAUAAUGUGUAAAGACGGUACUAUCGUUUGCUCAGCGGUCCCUUUUCAAACAUAAAAGAACUUGGCAGACAGUACACGCUCUGACCCUCAUGCACCAAACAGCCUUGCACACCAGAGUUGCAAUUUACAGAUUUUACCAAUGCAAACCUGGGAUCCAAUGAUGAGCAUGCAUCAAGGUGAUGUGAGCGAGCAUAAACUGAAAUUUGCCCUGCUGAGUUCUGCAGUCACAACACUGUCACGGCUUGAACGUGCUUCCAGAAAAUUGCAAUCCAAGCCUGGAACAAAAUGGUCGACCAAACCUCCGACAUCGCUGUCGUUAAGUCUGCACAGACCAAAUCCAAUUAAUGAGUUAAAUGGUCGAACAGAUGAUAAUUAAUUGCAGUGAAGAAAUAAGUAAACAGAGUGCAACACCGGAUCAUCGAAUGUGCUAGGCUAAGUAGAGCUACUGUCUUGAGUAUUGUUGUUCAGAUGGUAGACAGCCCCCAUUUUGAUGUAAGGAGACUGAGAAAAUACAGAGACCCAAUGCCAAACAAGAUACUUACAAAACAACUAAACACUUGCAGCAACAGGCUAUUAUCAGUAGCGGACAUGCUGAAUGUCGUUUUGGACUUUGCCAAUGCCAACAGCGGAGCCAGGUUAGCAACAGGAAAGCACACACCCAACACUGCGAUGCCUGAAGACUGCCCGUGUUUGCUCUUGCAGCUACAAGUCUAAAACAUCAAAUGUUGGUGAUUUAUCCUCCCGACAUGGUGCUUGACAGUUUGGCAGUUUGCAAUCAUGAGAAUGGAUGAAUUUAUCAAACCCUAAUACGUAUUUUCUACAAGAAAAAUGCUCGGAUUCAAGGUUACACACUGAAGGACACAAACAAGGAUUGAGGCAAGGAAGCAGGGUGUUUCUGAUUUAGACAAAAUAUUUUGUUCCUAGUCAUGUUUUUUUUUUGACGGGUCAACGGUGGGCUUACGCCAGCCUGAACUUAUAUUAUUCAAAACAUCACUUAAAAGGAGUAGCCAGAGUUACAAGGGGUUACGUGGGAUGAGAUUAUAUAAGAAUAUAAAUGUACCAGGGGAUUGCUAAUCGUUCAUGUUCCCUAUUACCUUAUAGCAGAAAUUUCUUCAGAACAUGUUUUGUGCUUACAGCCUGUUAUUUAGUUCAUGUCCCGAUGUUGCUGCAAUGCCGUCUUCUUGUAGUGCUUUUCAUAAGAAAGAUCUGGUGAUGUUUUUGAAUUCACAGGGAGAUCAUAACCAUUGCACUUUUAUCAGCUCACAUAAGCAGUUCCUAUCUGUUCUCGCAUCUCCUGAACAUAUAAUACAUGAUGAACUCUGCCAGACAACGACGCUGCUUAACUGGCCAGCCAGAUAUAUCCUGCCUUAUCUUGUUUUGAUUUCUGAAUAGUUGGUUAACUUAUGCUACCUUAGUUAAAUAGAAAAGGAAAUGAAGUUGUUCACAUAACCUACAUGAGUAACAAAAGUGCAAUGGUAAAUGUACAUAUAUUGUAUUGCUGAUUGAUUUAUGCAAUGACAAGCUCAUGCACAAUUCUUCACCGAAGCUAGAGAAACAAGACAUGUGUGACUAUGCAAGUAGUCAGCAAAACCACAUGUAACUUUACUUAGAACACAGUAUAGCAAGAAACGGCAGUAAGCAUGACAUGAGAGCAACAGUGCAUCAGAGUUAUUUGUCAUGCAUAAAUAAAACAACCUUUUAAAAUAACAAUUGGACAGUUGAAAAGACCACGAUGACGCCUAGGGGGGGGUGGGGGUGAAUAGGCUAUUUAAAAACUUCUUCAGAUUUGGCUUAAACCUAAUGCGGAAAUAAACUAAGAGGAUACUUUUCAAGCACAAAUCCUAAAUGCAAUAGGCACCGCAACGUGCACCAACAACACGAUCUACCAAGAUGGACACAACACGGUUACUAACAAGCACAAGUUACACAAACUUACUUGAGCUAUAUCACACGACGAGUAGGUGAACGACACAAGAUACUAGAUCACACUAUAGCACACGAUAUAUCAAAAGCUGCAAGUGUGAACGUGUGGAUAUAGAGGGUAUGCUUGAACGAUUAAUCUUGUACAAAGAAAUAGCCAACACAAUAUAAUGAGCAUAAACAAUAUGCAAUGUAUGUAUGCUCAAGUAACACAAGUAAACCACAAGUAAGGAGUUAAGGUUAGGGAUAACCAAGGUCACUGAGACAAAGAUGUAUCCCGAUGUUCACUUCCUUGGAGGGAAGCUAGUCACCGUUAGAGAGGUGGAUGUUACCACGAAGGCACACCAACGCCACGAAGGCUCACCCUAUUCUCCCUUUGAGAUAACACCACGAAGGCGUUUCUCAACCACUAGUGGUAAGCCUUUGAGGUGGCUUCCAAACCCUCACAAACUUUUCCGGGGGUAAUCACACGGAUUGAUUCCUCUCCGAAGAACUCCUACCGCCUAGGAGUCUCCAACCUCUAAGAGUAACAAGAUCACGGGGAAUGCUCAAAACUUGCUCAAAUCUCAAAUAGCUUGGGUUGAGAGGAGAAGAGGGAGACGAUCUAUCUUUUGAUUGGAACAACUCUCAAAGGGGCUCACAAAUGCUCUUGGGAUCUAAGAUUUGGUGUGAGCAAAUGUGUGUGAGGUAGAAAUGUGUUCUUAUGAAGAUAUGGCUGUGUUGGACCCAGGGGGGUAUAUAUAGUGGGGAGACUAAAGUAACCGUUGGGGUCACUUAAGUCUGACAGUGGUCGGACGNNNNNNNNNNNNNNNNNNNNNNNNNNNNNNNNNNNNNNNNNNNNNNNNNNNNNNNNNNNNNNNNNNNNNNNNNNNNNNNNNNNNNNNNNNNNNNNNNNNNNNNNNNNNNNNNNNNNNNNNNNNNNNNNNNNNNNNNNNNNNNNNNNNNNNNNNNNNNNNNNNNNNNNNNNNNNNNNNNNNNNNNNNNNNNNNNNNNNNNNNNNNNNNNNNNNNNNNNNNNNNNNNNNNNNNNNNNNNNNNNNNNNNNNNNNNNNNNNNNNNNNNNNNNNNNNNNNNNNNNNNNNNNNNNNNNNNNNNNNNNNNNNNNNNNNNNNNNNNNNNNNNNNNNNNNNNNNNNNNNNNNNNNNNNNNNNNNNNNNNNNNNNNNNNNNNNNNNNNNNNNGUCGGACGACUGAAGGAGUGUUCAUAUCAGUUGGCCACUGUGUAGUCGAACAGGGACCGGACGUCCGAAGAGAGGGUCGGAUGUCCGAGAGUUCAGCUCUGUUCAAGGGCACCGGAUUUCCAAAAGCGGUCGGACGUCCGGCCCUCGGACGACCGGGGGAGGCCGGAAGUCCGAGGUUUUUGACUCUGGUGCAAGGCUCCGGAUAUCCGAAAGGAGUCAGACGUCCGGUCCUCGGACGAACGGAGGAAGCCGGAUGUCCGAGCUUUUGACUCUGGUAUAAGGUUCCGGUUUUCCGAAGUGGUCGGGCGUUCGGCCCUCGGACGUCCGAAGGGAGCCGGAUGUCCGAGACUUUGACUCUGGUAUAAGGUUCCGGAUUUCCGAAGUGGUCGGGCGUCCGGCCCUCGGACGUCCGGAGGGAGCAGGAUGUCCGAGGCAUUGGUUCUGUUUUGGGAUCAAAGCAGAGCAGUGGAGAUGUGGCAUGAGCAGAGAAGUAGAGAUGUAGUUUGAGCAAAUUUAUCGCAAUACCCAAUGAUCCCCUCUUAAUAGUGCGGGAUCCCUAAAGACUCAAGAAUCAUAAAAAAGGGGUACCGAUGAUCUAUACUUGCGUGUAUACUUUUAUUCGCUGAUCAUCACUCCGCACCACUAACGUCAAAGGAACUGAUACCUUUGAGUUAGCCCUUUCACUUGAGCUUGGUGUUGUUGUUCCUUCUUGACUCAAGAUGAAAGCAAGACAUGAUGAAGUCUUCAAGAAGCUCUCCCAUACACAAUGUGGAAAGCCUAGCUUGUGUAUUCAUCUUCAUCUGUCCACCAUGUGAGCAUCCACAAGAUUCAAGCAUGUAGUACUCACGAAUGCUUAUCUUGAUCUUGUCCUUGUUAGCACAUGAGCUUGUCCUUAUCAACACAUGAUCAUAACAACAGCUUAAAAGGGGAUUAGUGAUUAGUUAUCUAUAUGUGUGUUGUCAGCAACACCAAAACACGAUUAAGGGCAUGACUGCACUUUCAACAGUACCGUAAAUUUGUCUCCGGGCUAUAUAUAUAGUAAUACAGACACUCAUAAGUCGGGGUCAUCUGAAAAUCCUAAUCCUAGGCUCCUAACCUCCUAGGGGAUAAAGUAACACACAUUAUCUAUUUGCAAGUACUAACAAUUUGAUGGGAUGUAACACACCGAUCAAUUAGAUUUAUAUCUAGAUUCCAUCAUUCCGAAGUAAUUAAGCACCUACAGUGUUUGGCAGGGUCGCAGGGAUAGAACAAGUAGGCUGCAAAAAACAGUAACUGAGGGCAGGAUAAAGCAGUUUGUGAGCCAGAGCGUGUUUGCAGGCCAAAUCAACCAAAAUUUCCCAAUAAGGGACGAAAUUAGUGGCGGUAGUAGACUUGUAGUGAUUUGGUUUACUGGAUGGAGUUUCUCUAAUGAUAUUCCAGUUUGGCAUUUUUAUGCUUGAACUUCUGGUCGAUGCUUCUUGUCCAUAGUUAACCCCCUGUACAGGCGCAAGUGUUGUAUCUGUGUGACUGUGUCUGUUGGUUGUUAUUUACCCAGAUUGGAGGUUGUUAACUCUAGCAUUGUGAAGAAGAAAAAGAUUGCAUAAGCUCGGGGUAGGUGGAAGAACGAAAAGAACUAAUACUAGCACAACCGUAUUUCUAGGUGAACUGACCUUCAAUUGCCCUAAACUGCCCAUGAAUGAUUUUUAUUAAUAAAUAACAACAAGGAACAAACUAUUAAUCAUCGGAUGGUAGAAUACUAGUAAAGGGAAACAUAUUUCCCCCUUGUACACAGUUAGGUUUUUAUCCUUAAAGGAAAUUGUGUUGUAAAGUAAGAAGGAUAUUUUAAUUUUAUCCUUUAAGAUAAUUCUUAACAAAUGCAGGCAGGAUUUUGACAGUUUAUUUAUAAGGAAAUAACAAUACAUGUCCUUCGAAAGGUGUACAUAAUUGCAGUCCCCUAGUUUGUAAACUUGCAAAGUAUUUGAAAAUCCUUGGUCAUUUAACCAACUGUGAAUGUGGACAUUCCACUAAAAAGACUAGUUGGCAGCAUCUUGUUAGAGAUUUACCUGCCUGACUGCAUUUCUGACCAAGAAUACAUGGAAGUUGUCUGUAAGCUCCUGAAUAGUUUAGGACAACCUCCAGUGCAAAAGCAGUGGUGUCCAUCUUUGUUGAACUUCCAUCAGAUUCCAGAUAAAGAAAUUGCUUAGUGCUGCUUCAGAGAGAAGUAGCACUAACAUGUUCCAACGAUCUUACGGGGAAGUAAUUAGAAGAAUUAGUCAUGUCUUGUGUUAAUUACACAUAUUGAUCACUACUGCAUGUCUGCAUCACACACUUAGAUGUUGUUGCCUAUUUGGACAGGCACACAUGUCCAUAAUGGUGUGUUGUCUAGUCUUCAGUUUGAAACUUGGGUUAAGACUGAAACAAAAGAGGGAAAGUAUAGCUGCUUAAGCAUCUAUUGUUUGGACAAAUAGGCAGCAACUUGUUAGAGAUUUACCUGUCCGGCUGCAUAUAUGACCAAGAAUAGAUGGCUGUGGUUGUUAAACUCCAGAAUAGUUUAGGAUAACCUCGAGUGCAGAUUCAGCAGUCCAAGGACUUCCCUCACAUUUCCCCGUAUUUAGCGUUUCUCUAGGCUUGUCUGCCUGUACAAAAGCAGAUGGGGUCACUUUAUUGAGCUUCCACUAGAUCUCAGACAAGGAAAUUGGUUAUCGAUGCUUCAGCUUCAUGGAGAAGCAGGAAUAACAUAUUCUUUUCUUGUGGGGAAGGAAUAACAUGUUCUAACGAUCUUGCAUGGAAAAACACUGCGUGAAUUGCAACAAUUAGCGGCGUAAAACAUCUACUGUGUUAGUUUACACGCAUCGAUCAUCACUGCAUCACGUACUUAGACGCGCAGCUGCAUAUUUGAGCCUUGUUUCCUUGGAUAAAGCAUCUCUCUUCUACACAACCCGAACACGGGGGAUUGAUUCGGAAAAUACUUUUAACUGAAAGGGGGUUUUCCUGUCUUCCGUAACUGGACCUCCUUCUUAAUUUUUAACCUUUCGAUUUCUAUGUUUUGAGGAUAGUAGACUGGCAGAGAUGGACUAGUUUAUCACUCCAGCAUACGUGCCACAUGUGGCAUGGCGUGCUGCCUGGUGUUCAGUUUAGAAACUUGGCAAAGACUUGAAAAGAAAAAGGGGGGAAACGUAUCUGCGUAGUCGCUUACGCAUCUCUGAUGUCUGGACAAUUCCAGGGGAGCUAGAAACUAAUGGCGCCGGGAUACUGCUAUGUCUGUGGUCAGUGGACGAUGGACGAGGCGGUCCGUUCCACGGGCCGUGGCAGACGGUCGGGCCACGGCGGCGCCAGAAACAGGCAAGAUCACGGAGCCAGCCAGCCAACAGAUCGACCAACAAACCGACGAGCGCAAAACCAACGGCGCUUCCGUGCGCGCGACAGAUCCGCCGCGAAGCGAGGGGCGGCGGACCGUGGCGGUAACCAGUAAGGACUAAGGUCAACCGAGCCGGACAAGAACCGCCGAGAUCGGUCGUUGCCACCAACCUCGCGCGGGAUCCGGGCCGCCUGGAGCCGGAGCCGCCGCCACCGCUCCGACAACAGCCAUGGGCUCGCGGCGGUCAGGCGCUCCCUCUUCCUUUCCCCAUCCCGGCCCUGGCCAGCUUUGGAGCUUUCCCGGGUCGUUUUCCGGGCGGAUCUCCCCGUGCCGGCGCCGAUCGGGAACCGGAUCCUAACCGCCCCGGCGUGUGGAUGACGGGAGCUCGGAUUCGCGCGCCGCACGCACGUACGGGGGCAGUGACAAAGAUGGCACGCACGCACGCGAGGACGGACGUCGCGCUGGUGGUGGCCGUGCCACGACGGGGUGGGGUGGGGGGGGGUGGGUGGACGGUUGGGAGGGGCUCCCGUCAACGCGAUUUGAAAAAUCAAUGCUCCGACGGUUUCCCUCAAAAAAUCGGCUCUGCUGGUUUACAUGAACCGGACACCCUCCUUUUUUUUCUUCUAAGAAGAACGUGUGUGUCAAAGUUGGGAACUCAAAAUCCACAAGUUGCAGGGUCAGCGAAAAUAUGCUUCAGCGAGCCAAGGCUUUGGGAACAUGUGAACGGUGCGAGAUGUGUCCAAUUGUACUCCCUUCGUUCCUAAAUAUAAGUCUUUAUAGAGAUUUCACUAGUGGACUACAUACGGAUGUAUAUAGACAUAUUUUAGAGUAUAGAUUCAAUCAUUUUGCUCCGUAUGUAGACCCUUAGUGAAAUCGUUUAAAAAACUUAUAUUUAGGAACGGAGGGAGUAUGUAUAGUAGGGGGACGAGCUGGCACAUUUGGUGUGCUUUUACUCGUAGAGGAAACACACAAUGGUCUCUUCGGCGGAAUCUUGUGUGUCACGCUCUAUCUUUGGGCGCAUCCAGAGAGCUUUCUAGUACAAGCAAUUCUGUUACUUUUACUUUUUUUUAUUUGGAUAUACAAGAAAAGUCAUCUAUGUCCUUGUAUCGCAUACACUACAUAUUGCUUGCCUUCUCGCUAGCUUGCUCUGGAAAUGCUAAUAGCAUGGCAUGAGAGAUUAAUUCGUCAUGUGCUUGAUUUGGUUUUUGGGAUGGCAACUACUUAUUUUUGGAAAAUGAUUUUUCAUCCGGUGCCUCCGACAACUCGAUUGACUAUACGUGUCUCCUACACGACACAACAUUUAUCAUUUGAUUGCCAGAUUAUACUACGUUGUAAAAUAAUUUUUUGAUGAAGUAUUAGGUGUAGCAAAGUUGUCGAAAAAUAUGUACUAUUUUAAUGAGAAAAGGCUUUGAGAAAAUGACGACUAUGUGAUAUAUCCCUUGUUGUAUGCAUUGUAUGUGAAGGAAACCUACGAAGGUCUUUCAUGUAUAUCCUUGUGUGUCAGACUCUAUCCUUGACACAUAUGAAUAGUCUGCCAGCGAGGAGCCUACCCUUUAAAUUCACGAAUUUGUUUUUCUCGGUACUAAGCUUCAGGAUGAUUGUUAGGCCCAACCCAGAAAAAGUGGACCAGGCAGCCCAUCUAAGAAAAUCCAGCGACCAUCCAUCAAGAAGCGCACCAACAGCUAGCCAACACGCACAAACAACUGCUAACACACCUAGUUGUCGGAUACCACCUCCCACUACUACAGGAAAGUCCUAAGAUGACACAUGUAUAUGAGACCUUUUUACCGGACUCUAUGCGAUGCAUGAAUCACAAACAAUAUAGUUCAAGGCCCGUCGUCAAUAAAACGAACAGCGUGCGAUGAUUGAUCCAUCAAGCAUAAUUCAGAUAAGACUUGUGUGUGCAGCAUACAGUUGGUCCUCAUGAACUGUUUGCAGUUAACCAAAAUAACACAAACGGUUAACCAGAUAAAGAUGUGUGCGAUAGACAGUAUACAUGUCAUUCGAAUGAACUGUUUGCGAUGAGCCGAAAUAGCAUGACGAUUCGGUAAACAGGUCGCUUGGACGAGCUGUUUGCGAUGAUGAAAAGUAACACAGAUGAUUCGGUGUAACAAAAUGUGUGUGAUACCCGACAAACAGCUCAGUAAACGAAAUUGUGUGGGAAGAUAGAUAAAAAUACAUAUGAUUCCUGAUAAUAAGUUUUGUGUGCUGUGGGCAAACACUUGCUCACACCCAAUUAUUCGUUAUUCCUGAAAUCAUCAUCGAUGUGUUCCUUUGUUUAAUCGUAAGCGAUGUGAUUUGCUUUGCCUGCAUAAGAGCUAUGCUCUGUGUGCAGAACAACAAUGUAUAUACUUAUAACAACAUGAUUGCAUAACCAAAAUUAACAUUCAAUUACAUUAGUGACUAGAGAUAACAUUUGCACACCUCAGUUAGCAAGUAGAUGCACACAAACUAGUAGUAAUGAUCAUCAAUUCAUCUACUUGUGACGAGGGGUGCCGGUCGGCGCAGGACGGAGGCACUUCCUCAUGUUAAUGAUCCGUCUGCAAAGCUCGUAGCUUACGUACGCGUUCUUGGCCGCGUACUUGAUGUGAUCUUUAUCUAGUCUUUGGACCCAUGCGCGGUGCCAGGCAAGCUUCUUCUUCUUGCAGACAUCCUUUAUGCCUUUGUAGUAGGGGUCGAUGAUGGCCAAUGCGAGUUCAACCAGGGAGCCCUUCUGCUUCUUCUCGCUGCCCAAGACCCCGUACUGGCCUUGGAUGUUGACAAGAUUCCAGCAGGCCAAGCCUGUGGUCUUGAGCACAUUUUCGUCGUUGGCGGUGUCUAUCAUACCGAAUAUGUAGUCGGAGUUAUUGACAAACCUAACGAAACGCUCGCAAUGCCUUAUGGCUAGGUAGUAGUGGUAGACGAGGACGUGAUGGUGCAUGCAUAACUAGGCGACGACAAUCUUUUGAUCAUACCCGGCACGACCACCGGUGUACUCGAGAUUCAAGCCAACAACUUUAUUCUUGUCCUUGGCAAGCAACUGCUCCUUGGUGUGGAUGGAGUUCUCCACCCAGAUGGGUUAGUUAGUGUACAACACCAAGAGGUCCUUUGAAUCUUACGUGGGUGUCCACAUAGGCAUGAAUGGUGAACUGUCGUUCAUCGUCGGCAGUUGCAGGGAGCGCCGCCAUUGGAGCCUAGCAGGAUGUCCUCUCGUUAUUUGGCGUUGCGUGUGUGCUUCUUGCGUUGUGGGGAAAGGUUGAACAGAGACAAGAGGUUAAAUGACCAGUGAAUUAAAUGGGGGUUGGACGGACUGUAAUCAGUAUGUUUUGUUACUACGUUCCACGCGGAUGAUUGAAGUGCAAACUUGACCAGCACGCACACCCGUUUCAUUUGACCACACACCGGCUCCAAGACCCUCCAACGUAUCGUUGGUCAACCCAUUCCCACGCAACCGUGCGGGUUUUCACGCGCAACCGCGCAAAGCUUCCACGCCCGGCUCGUUUGGCCAUGCGAUGGCUGGAAGACACUCUCAUUAUUGUGGGCGCUAAAUGGCAAAUGGUUGGCAAAAACAAAGUGUGUGCAAUAACUUAAAGCAGCAUAGACGUUCAACACUAAGCGACAUGUGUGAUGAGGUGAAAAUUUCACAAACAGGUAAUGAGUGGCAGUCAUGUGCGCUAAUUGGAAUCACCAUUGUCGGUUCCAUCAUAUAGAUCGUUUACUAUGAGAUCGACGGGGAAACACAAGCUAGAAUGGUAAUUAAAUCAAGUCGAUUACAUGUUAAGGUUCGGAUAUCAAUCGUCCAUUGCAUAUUAAAGUCAAAAUAGUACUACCAAAAUACGAGUAUCAUACGAUGCCAGUUCACUGAUUGUAUCACAAAUGACACAAAUGUGACAAGUCUUACAUUCAAUGUUCACAAGAUUCAAACACAUAUUGAAAAUGAAAUUCAGCUUAUGCAGAACCUUUUUCAUGCAGUUGUAGUCGCCCACGCUGAUCAGCUGAAAAUGAACACGUGAAAGGUCCAAAAUAAUAUUUACAACUAGUCUCGUCACUCAUAAGUCAUGUAGGGGAUUUACAUACCGACUUCCUAUUGCUUUGUCACCUGAACUUCCAAAAUGCACCUCAGCUUCUGCAAAGCCUUUUUCAUUCUACUGAAGACACCGACAGCAAACGAUUCAUUUUUGCGCACUAAAUGUAUGCCCAACCACAUUGCCUUUAUCACAUUUUCUUUCGCAACAAAGAACCUGGUGAAUUUAAUCUCCGGUAAGGUCCCUCGAUAGGAGUUCAAAGUAAUUUCGAAGAUAUGGAAAUAAAGGCAUUCAAUGGGAAUGCCAUAAUAUUGCAUCACAUUAUCCGCUGCUUGGCCUAAUCGGAUCCGCAAAAAGAUAAUAUAACGUGUUAGUGUCUAGAUGGAGUCUUGAACACUAUGAGAAUCUUGAUUUGCAAUAUUUCUAAAAUAAACGAGUAGAGUGGCAUGCCAUCUUUGAUCCAACGUGAUUAACAUGGCUUUUGAUUACAAUCUAGAAAAAUGUGGAAUUCUUCAUAAGAGGUUGUAGUGGAUAAAAACUUUGCAAUAAAAACUAUUACAAAUGAAUACAAAGGAGAAAUGCCUAUGGAGUGUAAUCAUACGAAUCAAGCAACCACUAUAAAAACAUAUAAAUAUAUUGAAAUCCUUCAAAGUUUCCUUUAGAAGUUGUAGUACAUUUGUCAUUGUAAACUAGGGAAAAUUUACCAAAAAUUGAGAUCUGUUGUGGCUAACAUUUAACAUGAAAGGAACAUCACCUCAAUAUUUAGCUUCUCCACGCACGGAAAGCAUUUUAGGAAUCUAGCAACUUGAUCCAGGCCGGGGCCGAUGGAUUAUAGUGCCAAGACCUCCACUAUGCCAAGACGGAAUUAUUUUUUGGACGACAGACGAAUAUACAUGUUAUAAAUUAGGAAAAAAUAAUUUUAAGAAGGAGGAUAACAAGAACACUGGUGUACCUGAAUGAUUAUUUAUUCAAUAACAAGUUAAGAGAGUUUGACACAUGAGUAGCCCAACACUGUCAAUUUUGGUGCAUAAAUAACACUGAUUCUUUUGGACCUUGUUUAUCAACUACAACCAAUCUCUCAAGUAAAGGUGCAUCCUUAGUGACCAUAUCAUGAUACACCUUAACUAAUCUCCUCUUGCAGCACCAGCAACACAUAAAUUGUCUGGAGAUUCAUGGAGGUGAUUGAUACGUCUCCAACGUAUCUAUAAUUUGUGAUGGUUUCAUGCUAUUAUAUUGUCAAACUUUGGACGUUUUGUAUGCCUUUUAUAUCUUUUUUGGGACUAACUUAUUAAGUCAGUGCCAAGUGCCAGUUCCUGUUUUUUCCUUGUUUUUGACCCUUUUCAGAGGAGAAUUUUAAAAGGAGUCCAAAUGGAAUAAAAUCUGCGGAAUGAUUUUUUCCAUAACAUAAGACACGCGGGAGACUUGAGAACCAAGGCAGGAGACCUCGGAGGAGGUCACAAGCCCACCAGGCCCGGCCUAGGUGGGCGGGCCUAGCAGGCUUGUGAGCUCCCCGUGGCUCCCCUGCCCUAGGUCUUCCGCCUAUAUAUUCCCUAAAAUCCCAGAAAAAAUCAAGAGAUCAUCGAAAGUACUUUUCCGCUGCCGCAAGCUUUUGUCUCUGCAAGAUCCCAUCUGGGGCACGUUCUAGUGCCCUGCCGGAGGGGGGAUUCGGAUAAGGAGGGCUUCUUCAUCAACACCAUGACCUCUCCGAUGAUGCGUGAGUAGUUCACCAUAGACCUACGGGUCCAUAGCUAGUAGCUAGAUGGCUUCUUAUCUCUCUUGGAUCUUCAAUACAAAGUUCUCCAUGAUCUUCAUGAAGAUCUAUCCGAUGUAAUCUUGUUUUGUGGUGUGUUUGUCGAGAUCCGAUGAAUUGUGGAUUUAUGAUCAGAUUAUCUAUGAAUCUUAUUUGAGUUUCUUCUGAUCUCUCUUAUGCAUGAUUUCAUAUCCUUGUAAUUCUCUUCGAAUUGUGGGUUUUGUUUGGCCAGCUUGAUCUAUGAUUCUUGCAAUGGGAGAAGUGCUUGGUUUUGGGUUCAUACCGUGCGGUGACCUCACCCAGUGACAGAAGGGGUAGAGAGGCACGUAUCGUGUUGUUGCCAUCAAGGGUAAAAGAGAUGGGGUUUUCAUCAUUGGUUUGAGAUUAUCCCUCUACAUCAUGUCAUCUUGCUUAAGGCGUUACUCUGUUCGUCAUGAACUCAAUGCACUAGAUGCAUGCUGGAUAGCGGUCGAUGUGUGGAGUAAUAGUAGUCGAUGCAGAAAGUAUCGAUCUACUUGUCUCGGACAUGAUGCAUAUAUGUAUGAUCAUUUCCUUACAUAUCGUCAUGACUUUGCGCGGUUCUAUCAAUUGCUCGACAGUAAUUUGUUCACCCACCGUAAUAUUUGCAAUUUUGAGAGAAGCCUCUAGUGAACACUAUAGCCCCCGGGUCUACUCCACACUAUAUUUUCAGCCUUACUCUUUUACUUCGUUGCACUUUCCGCCUUCAGAUCUCACUUUGCAAUCAAUCUUGAAGGGAUUGACAACCCCUUUAUAGCGUUGGGUGCAAGCUCUUUUGUGUUUAUGCAGGUACUCUGGACUUGACGAGAUUCUCCUACUGGAUUGAUACCUUGGUUCUCAACUGAGGGAAAUACUUACUGCUUCUGUGCUGCAUCACCCUUUCCUCUUCAAGGGAAAAACCUACGCAAGCAAGUCUCCGUCAACGUGUCAAUUUCUCGCGUUGUUGUUUGAGAAGUAGCAGAAGGAUUUCUGGCGCCGUUGUCGGGGAAGGAUUUUUGUUGCCGUAGCAGAAGAAUUUCUGGCGCCGUUGCCGGGGAGGAUCAAGUCAAGAACUCAUCCAAGUAAGUGUCCGCUACUGCGACAACAGACCUUCCCUGGUACGGCGCCAGGAAUCCUGCUGCUACGGCUACGCCUUUAGGGACUUCCUUGGCAAAUAUGCAAAUGAUUUCCCCACGGCCUUGGAGCCUUGCGUUGGUGUUCCCUUGAAGAGGAAAGGGUGAAGUAGCACAGCGGUGGUCAGUAUUUCCCUUAGUUUUAAGAACCAAGGUAUCGAACCAGUUGAAGAUCUCGUCAAGUCACAAGUACCUGCACAAACACAAAUAGCUUGCACCCAAUGCUAUGAAGGGGUUGUCAAUCCCUUAUAGAUUGUUUGCAAAGUGAGAACUGAAAGCAACAAAGUAAACAAGCAAAGAAAAAGUGAAAGUGGAAACGAUAGGUGUGAAUAGAUCCGGGGGUCGUAGUGUUCACUAGUGGCUUCUCUCAUGAAAGCAAGUAGACGGUGGGUGAACGAAUUACUGUCGAGCAAUGGAUAGAACCGCGCAAAGUCGUGACGUUAUCUAAGGCAAUGAUUAUAUCUAUAGGCAUCACGUUCAAAACAAGUAGACCGAUACUUUCUGCAUCUACUACUAUUACUCCACACGUCGACCGCUAUCCAGCAUGCAUCUGGUGUAUUAAGUCCAAAAGAANGAUGGCAACAACACGAUGCGUGCCUUGCUGCCCCUUCUGUCACUGGGAAAGGUCACCACACGGUAUGAACCCAAAACCAAGCACUUCUCCCAUUGCAAGAAUAAAGAUCUAGUUGGCCAAACAAAACCCAAGACUCGGAGACACUUACAAGGAUAUCAAAUCAUGCAUAUAAGAAAUCAGCAAAGACUCAGAUAUAAUUCAUAGAUAAUNNNNNNNNNNNNNNNNNNNNNNNNNNNNNNNNNNNNNNNNNNNNNNNNNNNNNNNNNNNNNNNNNNNNNNNNNNNNNNNNNNNNNNNNNNNNNNNNNNNNNNNNNNNNNNNNNNNNNNNNNNNNNNNNNNNNNNNNNNNNNNNNNNNNNNNNNNNNNNNNNNNNNNNNNNNNNNNNNNNNNNNNNNNNNNNNNNNNNNNNNNNNNNNNNNNNNNNNNNNNNNNNNNNNNNNNNNNNNNNNNNNNNNNNNNNNNNNNNNNNNNNNNNNNNNNNNNNNNNNNNNNNNNNNNNNNNNNNNNNNNNNNNNNNNNNNNNNNNNNNNNNNNNNNNNNNNNNNNNNNNNNNNNNNNNNNNNNNNNNNNNNNNNNNNNNNNNNNNNNNNNNNNNNNNNNNNNNNNNNNNNNNNNNNNNNNNNNNNNNNNNNNNNGGAGAACUUUGUAUUGAAGAUCCAAGAGAGAGAAUAAGCCAUCUAGCUACUAACUACGGACCCGUAGGUCUGAAGUGGACUACUCACGAGUCAUUGGAGAGGCGAUGAUGUUGAUGUAGAAGCCCUCAAACUCCAAAGUCCCCUCCGGCAGGGCACCGGGAAGGGUCUCCAGAUGAGAUCUCGCGGAAACGGAAGCUUGCGGCGGCGGAAAAGUGUUUUCGUGGAUGCCCUGAUUUUUUCAGGAUUUUUAGGGAAUUUAUAGGCCAAAGACCUAGGGCAGGGGAGCGUCAGGGGGGCCACAAGCUUGGUUGCCGUGGCCUCCCCCCUGGCCGCGGCAACAGGGCUUGUGGGCUCCCUGUGGGCCCACUGCCUUGGCCCUCAAGCCUCCCGAUCUUCUUCCGUUCUAGAAAAAUUUAUUUCGGGGAUUUUAUUCCGUUUGGACUCCGUGCUAAAUCAGAUCUGAAAAGAGUCAAAAACACAAAAAAAACA